GCGCCCGUAGCUCAAUUGGAUGGAGCCGCCGGCUUCUACCCGGCUGGGUGGGGGUUCGAGUCCCUCCGGGCGCG
rnacentral:tRNA from 1 species